rnacentral:rRNA from 1 species
UACGUAGGGACCAAGCGUUGUUCGGAUUUACUGGGCGUAAAGGGCGCGUAGGCGGCAAUUCAAGUCAGUUGUGAAAUCUCCGAGCUUAACUCGGAACGGUCAACUGAUACUGCUUUGCUAGAGUACAGAAGGGGCAAUCGGAAUUCUUGGUGUAGCGGUGAAAUGCGUAGAUAUCAAGAGGAACACCUGAGGUGAAGACGGGUUGCUGGGCUGAUACUGACGCUGAGGCGCGAAAGCGUGGGAGCGAACAGG